GACGAACGCUGGCGGCGUGCUUAACACAUGCAAGUCGAACGGUGAAGCGCCUUCCUUUUUGGUGGGUGUGGAUGAGUGGCGAACGGGUGAGUAACACGUGAGUAACCUGCCCCCUUCUUCUGGAUAACCGCAUGAAAGUGUGGCUAAUACGGGAUAUUCUGGGUCUGUCGCAUGAUGGGUCUGGGAAAGAUAUUGUUUCGGUGGGGGAUGGGCUCGCGGCCUAUCAGCUUGUUGGUGGGGAGAUGGCCUACCAAGGCGGUGACGGGUAGCCGGCCUGAGAGGGUGGACGGUCACACUGGGACUGAGACACGGCCCAGACUCCUACGGGAGGCAGCAGUGGGGAAUAUUGCACAAUGGGCGCAAGCCUGAUGCAGCGACGCCGCGUGAGGGAUGGAGGCCUUCGGGUUGUGAACCUCUUUCGCCAGUGAAGCAGGCCUGCCUCGUUUGUGGGUGGGUUGACGGUAGCUGGAUAAGAAGCGCCGGCUAACUACGUG
rnacentral:rRNA from 1 species